AGAGUUUGAUCCUGGCUCAGGAUGAACGCUGGCGGCGUGCUUAACACAUGCAAGUCGAACGAAGCACUUUUAUUUGAUUUCUUCGGAAUGAAGAUUUUAGUGACUGAGUGGCGGACGGGUGAGUAACGCGUGGGUAACCUGCCUCAUACAGGGGGAUAACAGUUAGAAAUGACUGCUAAUACCGCAUAAGACCACAGCACCGCAUGGUGCAGGGGUAAAACUCCGGAGGUAUGAGAUGGACCCGCGUCUGAUUAGGUAGUUGGUGGGGUAACGGCCUACCAAGCCGACGAUCAGUAGCCGACCUGAGAGGGUGACCGGCCACAUUGGGACUGAGACACGGCCCAAACUCCUACGGGAGGCAGCAGUGGGGAAUAUUGCACAAUGGGGGAAACCCUGAUGCAGCGACGCCGCGUGAGCGAUGAAGUAUUUCGGUAUGUAAAGCUCUAUCAGCAGGGAAGAAAAUGACGGUACCUGACUAAGAAGCACCGGCUAAAUACGUGCCAGCAGCCGCGGUAAUACGUAUGGUGCAAGCGUUAUCCGGAUUUACUGGGUGUAAAGGGAGCGUAGACGGAGUGGCAAGUCUGAUGUGAAAACCCGGGGCUCAACCCCGGGACUGCAUUGGAAACUGUCAAUCUGGAGUACCGGAGAGGUAAGCGGAAUUCCUAGUGUAGCGGUGAAAUGCGUAGAUAUUAGGAGGAACACCAGUGGCGAAGGCGGCUUACUGGACGGUAACUGACGUUGAGGCUCGAAAGCGUGGGGAGCAAACAGGAUUAGAUACCCUGGUAGUCCACGCCGUAAACGAUGACUACUAGGUGUCGGGCAGCAAAGCUGUUCGGUGCCGCAGCAAACGCAAUAAGUAGUCCACCUGGGGAGUACGUUCGCAAGAAUGAAACUCAAAGAAAUUGACGGGGACCCGCACAAGCGGUGGAGCAUGUGGUUUAAUUCGAAGCAACGCGAAGAACCUUACCAAGUCUUGACAUCCUUCUGACCGGUACUUAACCGUAUCUUCUCUUCGGAGCAGGAGUGACAGGUGGUGCAUGGUUGUCGUCAGCUCGUGUCGUGAGAUGUUGGGUUAAGUCCCGCAACGAGCGCAACCCUUAUCUUUAGUAGCCAGCGGUUUGGCCGGGCACUCUAGAGAGACUGCCAGGGAUAACCUGGAGGAAGGCGGGGAUGACGUCAAAUCAUCAUGCCCCUUAUGACUUGGGCUACACACGUGCUACAAUGGCGUAAACAAAGGGAGGCAGAACCGCGAGGUCGAGCAAAUCCCAAAAAUAACGUCUCAGUUCGGAUUGUAGUCUGCAACUCGACUACAUGAAGCUGGAAUCGCUAGUAAUCGCGAAUCAGAAUGUCGCGGUGAAUACGUUCCCGGGUCUUGUACUCACCGCCCGUCA
rnacentral:rRNA from 1 species